rnacentral:rRNA from 1 species
GACGAACGCUGGCGGCGUGCCUAAUACAUGCAAGUAGAACGCUGAAGGAGGAGCUUGCUUCUCUGGAUGAGUUGCGAACGGGUGAGUAACGCGUAGGUAACCUGCCUGGUAGCGGGGGAUAACUAUUGGAAACGAUAGCUAAUACCGCAUAAGAGUAGAUGUUGCAUGACAUUUGCUUAAAAGGUGCAAUUGCAUCACUACCAGAUGGACCUGCGUUGUAUUAGCUAGUUGGUGGGGUAACGGCUCACCAAGGCGACGAUACAUAGCCGACCUGAGAGGGUGGUCGGCCACACUGGGACUGGGACCGGGCCCAGACUCCUACGGGAGGCAGCAGUAGGGAAUCUUCGGCAAUGGACGGAGGUCUGACCGAGCAACGCGGCGUGAGUGAAGAAGGUUUUCGGGUCGUAAAGCUCUGUUUUAAGGGAAGAACGAGUGUGAGAGUGGAACGUUCACACUGUGACGGUAUCUUACCAGAAAGGGCCGGCUAACUACGUG